rnacentral:rRNA from 1 species
GUCGAGAAUCUUUCACAAUGGGGGCAACCCUGAUGGAGCGACGCCGCGUGGAGGAUAAGGUCUUCGGAUUGUAAACUCCUGUCAUGCGUGAACAAGGUUGCUUGGUUAAUACCUGGGCAAAUUGAUGGUAACGCAAGAGGAAGAGACGGCUAACUCUGUGCCAGCAGCCGCGGUAAUACAGAGGUCUCAAGCGUUGUUCGGAAUCACUGGGCGUAAAGGGUGCGUAGGUGGCGUGGUAAGUCAGAUGUGAAAGCCCGGGGCUCAACCUCGGAACUGCAUCCGAUACUGCCAUGCUAGAGUACUGGAGAGGUGACUAGGAUUCUCGGUGUAGCAGUGAAAUGCGUAGAUAUCGAGAGGAAUACCAGAGGCGUAGGCAGGUCACUGGACAGUUACUGACACUGAGGCACGAAGGCCAGGGGAGCGAACGGGAUUAGAUACCCUUGUAGUCC